UACGAAGGGGGCUAGCGUUGCUCGGAAUUACUGGGCGUAAAGCGCACGUAGGCGGAUUGUUAAGUCGGGGGUGAAAUCCUGGAGCUCAACUCCAGAACUGCGUUCGAUACUGGCGAUCUAGAGUCCGGGAGAGGUGAGUGGAACUGCAAGUGUAGAGGUGAAAUUCGUAGAUAUUCGCAAGAACACCAGUGGCGAAGGCGGCUCACUGGCCCGGUACUGACGCUGAGGUGCGAAAGCGUGGGGAGCAAACAGG
rnacentral:rRNA from 1 species